rfam:Sus scrofa chromosome 6.
GUCUACGGCCAUACCACCCUGAACGUGCCUGGUCUCAUCUGAUCUCAGAAGCUAAGCAGGGUCGGGCCUGGUUAGCACUUGAAUGGGAGAAGCACCAGCCCAGAAAUGCCCUGGCAGGGCCGAUGGGG